GUGGGUUGGCUCAGUGGUUAGAGCGUAGGUCUCGUAAACGAAAGCUUGCGAGAUCGAAUCCCGCUAUA
rnacentral:tRNA from 1 species